UUACCGUAAAUUUACCGAAUUACCGCAAAAUUACUUUUACUACCGAGCAUUUCCGAUAGUAACGCUGAUUGUCUUUUCUACAGGUUGAACUACUGCAUUUAAAAUACACAAUUAUUGGGCUUUUGUCCUUUUUCCAUCGUCCGGAAUUCCAGAAUGUGAAACAACGUGAUGGCUGGUAGUAACUAAUGAAGCACUGGCACAAAGAGCACGCAAUGUGGAAUGCAGACGGAUCAUAAACAUGUCUACAAACCAGGCAUAAAAUAUUGUUUACAACUCAGUACCUAUAAAAAUGCAGAUGUCACAUAUGUUUUUAAACAAAUUUAAUGCAGACAGUAUCUGUACAUCACUGAUAUGUUCUUCUUAAGAUGAUGAUGCUAAUCUGUAAUGUAUUUAAGUAAUAAACAAAAUCUGACUCAA